rnacentral:rRNA from 1 species
AUACGUAGGGUGCAAGCGUUAUCCGGAUUUAUUGGGUUUAAAGGGUGCGUAGGCUGACGUGUAAGUCAGAGGUGAAAUCUCCGGGCUCAACCUGGGAACUGCCUUUGAUACUGCAUGUCUGGAGUUCGGAUGCCGUGGGAGGAAUGGGCAGUGUAGCGGUGAAAUGCAUAGAUAUUGCCCAGAACACCGAUUGCGAAGGCAUCUCACGAAUCCGACACUGACGCUGAGGCACGAAAGCGUGGGGAUCAAACAGGAUUAGAUACCCUGGUAGUCCACGCAGUAAACGAUGAUAACUAACCGUCGGCGAUAGACAGUCGGUGGCCAAGCGUAAGCGAUAAGUUAUCCACCUGGGGAGUACGUUCGCAAGAAUGAAACUCAAAGGAAUUGACGGGG